GUGCCAGGCUCUGUACUAGGCACUGGGAGACACAAUGGUGAAUGGAAUAGGCAGAGAACUCUGUCCUUGAGGAGCUCAUGUUCUAAAGAGGAUGCUGGGACUUCCCUGGCGGUCCAGUGGUUAAGACUCCGCACUUCCAAGGCAGGGGGCGCGGGUUCGAUCCCUGGUUGGGGAACUAAAAUCCCACAUGCUGCGCAGUGUGACCAAAAAAAAGAAAACAAUUUUAAAAAUAUAGAGAGGAUGCUAGUCACCAACGCAGUCAUCCUGCAAACAAAGUGCAGAACUGCAGCUGGAGAAGGCGCAGGGGGAUGAGGCUCUGGGUGCCAUGGGCACCUGUAGCAAGUGGCUGGACCUCUGGGGGGGUGGGAGUGUCUCCUGGUGGAGGUGUGACCCUGCAGUGGUUCAUUGGGCAACACAAAGUUUGCAUGUCCUCGGGAGGCUCAGCGAGGACAGCCGCGGGAGUGAGUGGGACACACGUUAUACAAGAGGAAACCCUGGGGCGCUGACCCUGCCCUCCCAUCCCGGAAGGGUCUCUGAGGAAGUGACGCCCUGAACACAGAGCCGGAUCCGUGGCGACCGCGAAGAAUCUUCCCUUCCCGGCAGAGGCACCAGCCAUGCAAAGGCAGGAAGGCUGCCACACCACACCCCUAGGAAGCUGGAGGCUUUGCACGGGAUGCCCCGCUCUGGCCUGGCUUUCUCCUUUUGUGGAAAGGGAACAGUCGCCCGCCCACCCCCACAAGCGGGGAUGCUGUUCCUGGUGGUGGGUCAGGCCUCCGUGGACCCCCUCGAGUCCUGGAAGAUGAUCGUGUCUGCGGGCUUGGGGAGACGGAGAAGAGAGUGUAGACUGAACAGCUCUCCAACUCCAGACUUUGAGGCAGGAUCCUGAGGUACUUAGAAGGAAAUGACAAGCAGCCUCAUUUACAAUGGAAGGAAACUGAGGUACAACAACAAAAUAAUAAAAUCUAAUGCUUACUGAGCUCUUACUCCAAGCCAGGCACAGUGCUAAGCCCUUUGACCCAAGUUCUUUCAUUUAAUCCCCCCAACGAUCAUCACUGUCGGAAGCUAAUACCGUGACCCCUAUUUUACAAGUGUGGGAAUGAAGACUCGGGAGGUAAGUCAAGACCAUGCCUCCUGUUAAUGGGGGAUCUGGGAUGAGCAUGCAGAUCUGGCUUCAGAACCCAGAAUCAUAAACCCGGCACUUCCUGAGGGGAGGUGGGGGUAGGAGGGAAGGGAUGGGGGCCACCUGGGAGAGACAGACGAUAAGCCCUUGUCUGAGGGCUAAGGGCAGUGGAAUAAAUAAUUGCAAGAGUGAGGGACCCAGGGUCAGUUCCAUGUUCUUCCUACCCUGGAUGGCCCAGGGCAGUUUGGAGAACCCCGAUUCUAGCCCACCCCAGCAACCUAGAAUUUACUCUGCUUCGUUCAUUCAUUUAUUCAUUCAUUCAAUCAUUCAGUCAACAGAAAACAAAAUACAGGAUGACACAGAUCAAAUAUAUCCCUGUAAACAAUAAAUGUAAAUGGGUUGAAUGGUCUAUUAGAAAACAAAGACUCAUAUUAGAUCAAAAAUCAAAAUCUAUUCAUUUAUUCAUGGGCCAAAUAUUUAUUAAAUGCCUAAAAGAUUCAAGGUCCUGUUUUAGAAUCUAAUGAUAGAAUGUAAAAAUAAAAUUUCUGUUAAAGAAGGAAAAACACUGGGGAAAGGAGAUCCAGGGAGAGAGAUCUGAAGGUGCAAAAACUGUGAGGCUGCAAUGAGUUGGAGGAUGGAGGAGCCGAAAAGGGGCCGGUGUGGUUGGAGAAGAGCACUAGUGAGCAAGCGUAGGGGGGUGAGGCAGGCAAGGCCUGCCAGGUCAGGUCCGGAGAGCAGAGGCAGCACCAAGGGGGGCCGAGAUGCAGAGGAGCCGGGUCCUGCUUACCUAGAGCUGUGGGGCAGCGACCGCUCCUCACUAUUCCAGCAACCCCAGCUGGGACUCUUGACCCUUCCCCAACUGAAUGCAGCCAAGAUGACCUCGCCCAGCCUCCUCCCAGGGAAGAAGACUUACCAUGAAUUGAAGGCCUACUGGGUGCAAGGCUCUGCCAUGGGUGGUUUACAUGCUUAAUUAGCUCAUUAAGUCCUGCCAUCAGGUUAGUUUUCUCCCAUUCUGCAGAAGAAAAAAACUAAGCCUCAGAGAGGUAGAGUGACCUGCCUGAAGCCACACAGCCAGACAAUGGCAGGCCUGAAGUUUGAACUUGGGGUAUCCAACACUAUGGAGUGCCUUCCUGGCACUGCAUAGCUGCCUCCCAGGAAAUGGCAGUGGAGAGGUCUCAGCUGGCUGUGUCCUCACGUGUGUCCCCUGACCUCUACGACUUCAAUUCUCCAUCUGGGAACCCGCAUGCCAGGUCAGUGUCGAAACCUGGAUGACUCCCUCCCUCCAGGACGUGGAGUUCCAACGUGCUGAGCUAGCGCUUCUGAUUCCACCCCCACAAUGACUCCAUUUGACGGAGGAGGAAACUGAGGCUCAGAGGGGGAAGUGAUUCUGCAGGGUCACGGCCUUGGGACUCCCGAGGGCCUGGGACUUUCGUGAGUCUGUUCAUUGGAUGCUAAGAAUGAGGACCCCCCCAAGGAUGCAGAGAAUUUGGGAUGGGGUGGAGGGACAGGAACAAGGAUACACAGGCAGUAAGGGAGAGCAGGCCUGGAACCCAGGACACCAGCUCCCAGCCUCUGCCCCUCACUGCAUCCUGGGGAAGGCGGGGGCCUGGCCCCUGGGUCCGGAUUAUUUCCUGAGAACGGGGAGGGGCCACGGGAAGUCUCCCCGCAUCACCCCACUCAGGUCCUGCCCAAACAGGAAAUGCCAGGCAGUCCCCCCACCCACACCCCAGGACCGUGGGAAAGCUUUGCCUGCGAUCCAGUGCUUCCAGCUCUGGCCCAGCCUCACUGGGGAUCUAGACCCUAACAGGGCCUGCGUGACCUUGGACAAGGUCCUUCCCCUCUCAGGGCCUCAGUCUCCCGCUCUGUAGUCACAGAACUCUGCCACCUCCCGGCUGUAUGACCUCAGGCAGGUGUCUGUGCCCUUCUGAAGCCCAGCUCCCUCUUCUGUAAAGUAGGGGACGGUACACACAGAGUGUGCUCCACCCACGGAGCCAUUAUCACCCCAGGCAAGGGUGUGACAGGGGAGGCCUUUGGAAAGAUCCCUAUGGCCCUCUGGGAAAGACGAGGAGCUUCCCUGGACUCAGGACCACACCAGGUGGAUUUUCAUCCCUCUUUGGCAGCUGAGGAAACAGAGCCUCAGAGAGAACUGGUGAGAACCCCGGGAUUCCAAAGCCAGGCCAGGCCCCAGGAGGCCACGAGGCCUGGGAAGUGCUGCCCAGGGCCUUGGGCUGUGGCCCAGACAAGCUGGAAAUCCUCACCUCUGGGGCCACCCCUUGCCCAGACCUGCCCAUAAGGAGCAGUUGAGGGGCGCAGACCCUCACCCUCUGCUCCACAAACCUCUGUCAAACCUGCUGCCUGGGACACGGCUCCUCCACUAGGAUGCCUGAGGAUCAUUCCCUUACCAUUAGAUAAGCAAGAAACUAUCAGUACAAAUUACAUCAAUAAACUCCAUGCUCUAGGAUGUUGAAGCAGAUAUUAUCACGAACCCCAGCUGAAAGCUGAGGACAGAGUGGGGGCGGCGUCACUGCCUGAGGUCACGCAGUGGCAGGAUUGGGACUCAGACUCCCAGAUCUGCGGUCCCAGAAGCUGAGCUCUUGUCAGAGAUGUAGAAUGAGACAGGCUGUGCAGAGAUUCCACUCAGCCCCUCCUUGUGAGGUAAGUGGGGAAACUGAGGCCUGGACAAGCUCAGAGACUGCCCUUAGCCACACAGAGACCCCAAAGCAAGUCUGAGAGGCUGCUUCCCACGAGCUGGGCUGCUCUGGGCCGUGCAGGAAGUGGCCAGGGCUAGGACAGGCCCGCCGCUUUGAUCAGCUUUACGAGCCGUGGCUGUUUAUGGAGGCCCGGGCCCCCACCCCCUGCCACCUGGGACUGGGUCUUGUCACCAGCACUCGGGAUAUUAGGAGUCCCAGGAGAGCCUGCCAGCCGGGGUCUGGGCCCCAUUUCCUCCAGCCUGGCCCUUGCCCUGCCCCUUGGCCUCAGCCCCUGGGAACAGGGCAGGAGGGUCCCCUCAGGACGGAUCCCCUCACGGAGGGGCCUCCUGGCAGUUCCU